rnacentral:rRNA from 1 species
GAUGAACGCUAGCGGCAGGCUUAAUACAUGCAAGUCGUGGGGCAGCAUGAGUGUAGCAAUACAUUUGAUGGCGACCGGCAAACGGGCGCGGAACACGUACACAACCUUCCUAUAAGUGGGGAAUAGCCCAGAGAAAUUUGGAUUAAUACCCCGUAACAUAACGAUGUGGCAUCACAUUGUUAUUAUAGCUUCGGCGCUUAUUGAUGGGUGUGCGGCUGAUUAGAUAGUUGGCGGGGUAACGGCCCACCAAGUCUACGAUCAGUAGCUGAUGUGAGAGCAUGAUCAGCCACACGGGCACUGAGGCACGGGUCCGACUGCUACGGGAGGCAGCAGUAAGGAAUAUUUGUCAAUGAACGCAAGUCUGAGCCAGCCAUGCCGCGUGAAGGAUUAAGGUCCUCUGGAUUGUAAACUUCUUUUAUCUGGGACGAAAAAGGGCUUUUCUAAGUCACUUGACGGUACCAGAUGAAUAAGCACCGGCUAACUCCGUGCCAGCCGCCGCGGUAACAC